AAUGAACUGCAGAAACAACAGCUGGAACUUUCAAAGAAUGGAGAAGACACUGUUGUUCAUGCUCACUCUCUCAGGGUUGUCUACUCUGUCUACACACAUCAUCAGAGAGUACCACUAUGUGCCGAGAUUAAUGACCUGGGCUGAAGCUCAGAGUUACUGCAGAAAGACGUUCACUGACCUCUCUACUGUGACCAAUCAAAAGGACAAUAACAUGCUGCUGAGUGUAUUGCAGGGCCCUAUGAAAUACGCAUGGAUAGGGCUUUAUGACGUCAUGUCAGGGUGGAGGUGGACGGUGGGAAAUGCAACCUUUGAGUUCAGUAAUUGGAGCAAGAAUAAUUCUAACAAUGUAAAGUUGAAUAACUCCUGCACUGUGAUGAAUGCAGAUGGGAAUUGGUUUGACAAUAAUUGUAUGGGAUCAUAUCCUGCAGUCUGCU